rnacentral:lncRNA from 1 species
GUACUAUAGACUUCCAACCUAUGGGUACUCAAGUUACUAAAAGGUUAUCUGGAAUGCUAAUGGAAACAACAUGUAUAAGUAAAUGGGGUGUUUAAUUUGUUUGAAAAUUUUUCACACAACUUCAACAAGUGCACGGUGAGUGCUACCUUUGAUUUGAUUCAAGUUUUAGAAAAAUCUUGGGAUUAUGUCUACUUAGAGGUGA